rnacentral:rRNA from 1 species
GAGUUUGAUCCUGGCUCAGAACGAACGCUGGCGGCGUGCUUAACACAUGCAAGUCAGGGAGAAAGUCUCUUCGGGGAUGAUUAAACCGGCGCACGGGUGAGUAACACGUGAGUGACCUGCCUUUUAGACUGGAACAACUUACCGAAAGGUGAGCUAAUGCCGGAUGAGUUAUAUAAGUGCAUGUUUAUAUAGGAAAAGUUGGGGAGACCUGACGCUGAAAGAUGGACUCGCGUCCCAUUAGCUAGUUGGUAGGGUAAUGGCCUACCAGGGCGACGACGGGUAGCCGGCCUGAGAGGGUGGCCGGCCACACUGGGACUGAGACACGGCCCAGACUCCUACGGGAGGCAGCAGUGGGGAAUUUUGCGCAAUGCUCGUAAGAGUGACGCAGCGACGCCGCGUGAAUGACGAAGGCCUUCGGGUCGUAAAGUUCUUUCGACAGGGAAGAAAAUGCCUAUAAGUAACUGUGUAUGUAUUGACGGUACCUGUAUAAGCAGCCCCGGCUAACUCCGUGCCAGCAGCCGCGGUAAUACGGAGGGGGCGAGCGUUGUUCGGAGUGACUGGGCGUAAAGAGCACGUAGGCGGUGUUGUAAGUCAUUAGUCAAAGACUAGAGCUCAACUUUAGUAAGGCUAGUGAUACUAUAAUACUAGAG